rnacentral:tRNA from 1 species
AUAUUCGUAGCUCAGCUGGUAGGGCGUGCGCGGUACAAAAGCGUAGGCGGCGUCUGUGCGUGGGUUCGAAUCCCACCGAGGCUA